rnacentral:sRNA from 1 species
UGGUUAUAACUGAACACUUAAAAUUUGCCAGAUCUGAGGCUAAAUGCUUUAUAUUGAUAACUCUUUGAUCCUCUUCAUCACCUUAUGAGGUAGGUAUAUUUUCCUAUUUUACGAACUAGGAAACUAAGGCUUGGACAAUUUUGACCUGUCCAAACUAGUAAAGGGCAAAGCCAAUGAAACCAGAUCUUUCAGAGUCCAGAGCCUAAGAUCUGGCUUGUCAGCUUGAAUGUGUGUAAAGCUGGCAUCUGGAAUCUUGUGGGUCCAUAUGGUGUCUGCCAUCUUAUUUCCUCCAGAAUAGGUGGCCACGGGAUAUUUAAACAUACCCAGAGGCUGACAUACAAAUACUUUUCAUCUGGUGGGGGUCUCUUGUUUUGGGGAGGAAUGCGUGCGAUGUGCAUUGUGUUCAGGCUUUGUAUCCUUGUGCCCACCUCCCCCCCACCCCAGGCCCCUUCAUGGCUGUGCUCUUUGCCAAACUCGAGAACAUGCUGCAGAACUCCGUCUAUGUCAACUUCCUGCUGACGGGGCUGGUGGCCCAGCUGGCCUGUCACCCCCAGCCCCUGCUCCGCUCUUUCCUGCUCAACACCAACAUGGUCUUCCAGCCCAGUGUCAAGUCCCUGCUGCAGGUGCUGGGCUCUGUGAAGAAUAAGAUUGAGAACUUUGCGGCUUCCCAGGAGGACUUCCCAGCACUGCUGUCCAAAGCCAAGAAGUACCUCAUUGCCCGUGGCAAGUUGGACUGGGCUGAGGGCCCUGCAGCAGGACCUGCCCCACGCCGUUCUGAUCCCCUAGUGAAGAGCCGGAGGCCAUCCUUGGGGGAGUUACUCCUGCGGCAUGCACACAGUCCAACCAGGGCCCGGCAGGCGGCACAAUUGGUCCUUCAGCCUGGGCGAGACGGAGCAGGACUUGGCCUAAGUGGGGGCUCCCCUGGGGCUUCAACUCCAGUUCUACUCACCCGGGGCGGGGCCCCUGAACGCCAAGGUGAGGCUCUUCGAGUCAAGAAUGCUGUCUACUGUGCAGUCAUUUUCCCUGAAUUUCUCAAGGAGUUGGCUGCCAUCUCCCAGGCUCAUGCCGUCACCUCGCCUUUCUUGUUGGAGACUUCAGAGGAAGGAUCUGGCCCUCUCAUCUCAGGCUGUGGGCCCCUCAAUCCUUAACUUUCUUCCAUGGACAAUCAGGGCCAUGGGUGGCCCGGGCUGGGGCUAGGGCACAGGCUCCUUUUUAUGUUUGGAGGCAGUGGCAAAAGGACUUUUUAAUUUAUUUCAGAUGAAUGUUUUAUGGAGAACUUGUUGCAAUAUGUAUAAAAGGGAAAUCUCUA